rnacentral:rRNA from 1 species
GAUGAACGCUGGCGGCGUGCCUAAUACAUGCAAGUCGAGCGAACAGACGAGGAGCUUGCUCCUUCGACGUUAGCGGCGGACGGGUGAGUAACACGUAGGUAACCUACCUAUACGACUGGGAUAACUUCGGGAAACCGGAGCUAAUACCGGAUAAUAUUUCGAACCGCAUGGUUCGAUAGUGAAAGAUGGCUUUGCUAUCACUUAUAGAUGGACCUGCGCCGUAUUAGCUAGUUGGUAAGGUAACGGCUUACCAAGGCAACGAUACGUAGCCGACCUGAGAGGGUGAUCGGCCACACUGGAACUGAGACACGGUCCAGACUCCUACGGGAGGCAGCAGUAGGGAAUCUUACGCCAUGGGCGAAAGCCUGACGGAGCAACGCCGCGUGAGUGAUGAAGGUCUUCGGAUCGUAAAACUCUGUUAUUAGGGAAGAACAAACGUGUAAGUAACUGUGCACGUCUUGACGGUACCUAAUCAGAAAGCCACGGCUAACUACGUG